UACGAAGGGGGCUAGCGUUGCUCGGAAUCACUGGGCGUAAAGCGCACGUAGGCGGCUUCUUAAGUCAGGGGUGAAAUCCUGGAGCUCAACUCCAGAACUGCCUUUGAUACUGAGGAGCUUGAGUCCGGGAGAGGUGAGUGGAACUGCGAGUGUAGAGGUGAAAUCCGUAGAUAUUCGCAAGAACACCAGUGGCGAAGGCGGCUCACUGGCCCGGUACUGACGCUGAGGAGCGAAAGCGUGGGGAGCGAACAGG
rnacentral:rRNA from 1 species